AACUGCAGUUCCACGAAUCCCCUAAAAAAACAGAAAAAAAAACUGCAGUUCCACGGCUUCUCCCUGAUUCACUACGCGCCGAGCCGCCGACGAGGAGUUCCGUAGAUCUGUCAGGCUUCGCAUGGUUGAUCGUUCGUUGCUUGCUUCAAACGGAGAUUUUCUUUCGGCCUUCUGCGAGAUCUGAAUCUGUAUCUCUUGCUUUCACGUAAUUUUUCCCUUUUAACACGACCCACGCACGGCAGGUGCCUGUUGAAAUGCUUCUGCGUGAGAGUGAUGAAAUUCUAAAGCCUGAUUUGAUAUAUCCUACUUGCUCCACCCAAUUUCUCGUUGCUAAGUAUCAUUGAGUAAGACACGUCAGUUCUGUAGGGCGCCGAAAUGUCGGUUCUUGAUUUUUCUUUGCUACAACAAUCUAUGACUGUCCAUGGCGUCCGUAUUUAUUAGAUACCGAUUAGUAGUUGCUGAUAGUACUGUAUGAUGAACGUAUUGACAGUCUCCAGUAUCACGUGUUGUCAUUUUCUUGGUUGAUCUCGUUUCUGUAUCGUUUUGCAUUAUUAGUCAGGCAAUGGUGCAACCUCAUGCAGAAUUUCGGUAGAAAGCUGAUUGGAAUGUGGUGGCCGGGUACCUAGAAAUCUGUUUCCGUCUUGUGUUAGAACUUAUGUGGUUUUCGUUUCAGUAAAUCUGGGGGCGAACCCCUUUUGUCACCAAAGGAACAAUGGGUUAUGCGAUCAAACCUAAACAAUGACGUGCACUUUAUUUACAUUAUCACUUGAGAGUUGAGACAUUGCAACUUCAGUUUGGCAUUCUGCAAUUUAUAUGCCGUUGAAGUGUUGAAUAUGGCUGAUAGAACUGUGGAUCGUUUGCUGCGGUUCGAUGGUGUGUUAUCUGCAUAAUGACUUCACAGAUCUCCUAUUACUUAUUUCUCAACAUCAAUUAAACUUACAGGUCGUUACUUAAACAGGGGUGGUAUCAUAUAUCAGAGUCCUAGAGAAUGCAAGCAAAUGAGAUCACCAAAUAAUUCUAGUUCAUAGUUGUCAUGUAUUCCUUCUCCUGCCCUCUGCCUUCACAUCACUUUACGCAAACUCAUGUUCAAUGUACCUCAUUUCUUGUUGGGGGCACUCUUUAUCCAAAGUAUAAUAUUUGACAGAGGUUCUGGAAAAUAAGCUGAUGUCUUCAUGCUGUGCUGCUGUUUUUUUUACUUACGUGGUUGUUCCUUAUUUUUAUUUUACAAAAUGGCCUGCCAAUUUCUGUCUAAACAGAAACUCUCGCUCUGUCUGGACUGAAAACUGAAGCCCUGUUGUUUUUUUGCACCCAUCAAGCAGAAGAUAUCUACUAUAUCAUAAGUGCAUUUUAAUAUGUUAAGAUUCAACGUGACUGGCUUGCACUGCUUGGCUGGUCGCAUGUUCAGCCUCGUUAACAUCUGUUGACUAAGUUGCAUUAUUUUCUCCAUUAUUCCGCAUGCCUGUCAGUGAGUUUCUGAAUGCAUCGAGAAGGUAUUGGCGUGAUGCUGGUGCAUGAUGAUCUCCAGCCUAGCGGCUGGCCGGCAUCUUCAUAAUAAAGGACGACAAAUCACAAAUAAGAAAAGAAAGGCAGUCACGAUCUUGUUCAGACAUUUCUGAAUUCCUCACAUUCAGCUAGCAGAGCUUUGUUCUCUACAAAGCUUUGUUCCCAUUAGAAUGCUAUAAAUUGUCAGGAUGUUUCUUUCGGUUGUACACCGUCUGCUAGAGUGCUAGUGCUAUGCCUGUAGAUUCAGAGUCACAAUUAUUCUGUGAACUGCAGGUCUAUAUGAGGUGAAGCAGGAGUCUUUGGUACUACACUUAGUGUUGAGACAUUAGAACAUUGUACCAGUAGACUUUGUGUAUUGUGAAAUUGUAAAAAUACCAGUAUGUAUAUA